ensembl:lncRNA LINC01234 long intergenic non-protein coding RNA 1234
GGAGCCAACCCAGGGACAUUUUCCUGGAGCGGCUGGGAAAGAGGAGUCUCUCGAAAUUCAGCAACUGCUAACAGCGAGGAGGGGUUUUGAAAGGUAAAGGCCAUUAGCUUGGAGGCAGAAGACAGACCUCCCUGACUGCUGAAUUCCUGCCGGCCUGAAAUUGGAGCAUUCCAAGCUCCUCAGAUGAGUCAUAAGCCACCAAGAUUGUGAGCCUCUGGGAUAAUGUUCAUCUUAAAAUAACCUACUUCAAUGAACAUUCGGCCAAAAGACAAAAGGAAGGUAUUGCUAGGUAAUGUGCAGCCACUCUGUCACAGUCUUUUUUUUUUAAAUGAACACAAAUUCCUUGACUGUCUUCUUGCUGAGAGGUGAGGUCUCUGUCCCCCUCCUCUCCCUACUUGAAUCUGGAUGAGCUUGUGACUCACUUAUAACCAAGAAUAUGGAAGAAGUGAUGCUGUGUGAUCUCCUCAUGCCUGGAGCCUGUGAGCCUCUCUCUGAGAAGUCCAGUGCCCCUGAGCCCACCAUGCUGAAGAAGCCACCUGGAGAAGCCCCUGUUGACAGAGAGCCAGCAUCACCUGCCAGUCACCAGAAGGGAGCCAUCUCAGACAUCCAGCCCAGCUGAGCCUUCAACUGACUGCUGCCCCAACCAACAUGUGAACUGCAACCGCAUGAGAGACCCUCAAGUGAGAACCGCCCAGCUGAGCCUUUCCCAAGUUCCUGGCCCACAAAACCCAGAACAAAUUAAAAUGAGUGUUUUAAGCCAUUAAGGAGCAGGGUAAUUUGUUACACAGCAACAGUAACCAGGACACAUUCCCAAACCUAACUAGGAGGAAAUUUCCUCUUGAUAAAAAUGCUGAUUUUUUUAUUCAUCCUAGACCUUCAUAAGUCAGAAUCAUCUGUGGAUAAGGUAUAAGAAUCUGCAUUUUUUUUAAGACAAGCUCUCCCACCCCAGGUGAUUCAGAUGCACAGCCAGGUUUGGAAAUUUAAGACCUUGGAAGAGAGUCACAUUGCCUCUCUCUGAGUCUCAGCUUCCUUGUCUGUGAAUUGGGGAGGAGUGAGAGUUGGUGUGAGUAUCAAAGAAGACGCUGCAGGUAAAGUCUUUAGGGCCAGCCAGGCGUAGUGGCUCAUGCCUGUAAUCCCAGCACUUUGGGAGGCCAAGGCGGGUGGAUCAUGAGGUCAGGAGUUCAGCCUGGCCAAUAUGAUGAAACACUGUCUCUAUUAAAAAUACAAAAAAAUUAGCCAGGCAUGGUGCCAGGUGCCUGUAGUCCCAGCUACUCAGGAGGCUGAGACAGGAGAAUCGCUUGAGCCCAGGAAGCGGAGGUUGCAGUGAGCCGAGAUCACACCACUGCACUCCAGCCUGGGCGACAGAGCAAGACUCUGAGAAAAAAAAAAAAAAGUCUUUAAUAAGGCCAAGGCAUAUGGAAAGGACUCAGGAUUGGAACUGAAUAAUUAACCGUGGAUAUCAGUAUCAUUGAUACCAAUACUGUUGUUUUAUUGUAACUACUUCACUAUCAUGGGUUGAAUAGCGGCAUCAAAAAUAUAUGUCCAGUUCCUAACCCCUGAUGCCUGUGAAUGUGACCUUAUUUGGAAAUAGAGUCUUUGCAGAUGUAGUUAAAGAUCUCAAGAUAAGCUCGUCCUAGAUUUAGGGUGGGUCUUACAUCCAAUGACAAAUGUCCUUAUAAGAUACAGAAAAGGAGAAGAAGACCACAUGCAUACCCACAAGAAGAUGGAGGCAGAGACUGGAGUGAAGAAGCCACAAGCCAAGGAAUGGCUGGAGCCACCAGGAGCUGAAAGAGGCAACGAAGGAUCCUCCCCUGGAGACUUCAGAGGGAGCAUGGCCCUGCUGACACCUUGAUUUUGGAUUUCUGGCCCCCAGAACCAUGAGAGAAUAAAUUUCUGUUGUGUUAA